GCAUAUCAAUAAGCGGAGGAAAAGAAAAUAACAAUGAUUCCCCUAGUAACUGCGAGUGAAGAGGGACAAGCUCAAAUUUUAAAUCUGUCGGGUUCUCCUGACCGAGUUGUAAUUUGAAGAAGCGUUUUCCGCGCCGUUUGAUCAGCCCAAGUCUUAUUGAAUGAGGCAUCAUGGAGGGUGAUAAUCCCGUUCGGUUGGUCAAACUGUGUUCUACGAUACGCUUUCAAAGAGUCAAGUUGUUUGGGAUUGCAGCUUAAAAUGGGAGGUAAAUUUCUCCUAAGGCUAAAUAUUGGCGAGAGACCGAUAGCGAACAAGUACCGUGAGGGAAAGAUGAAAAGAACUUUGAAAAGAGAGUUAAACAGUGCGUGAAAUUGUUGAAAGGGAAACGAUUGAAGCCAGUCGUACCGGCGGGUAAUCAGCCUUUCGGGUAUGAUUCUGUGGAGCGUGAGGAGUUAAACGCCUUCAUGCCUGCAUAUUCGUGCUCUUGGGUGUACUUGCUCGUGUGGUUAGUUAACAUCAAUUUCGGAUAUCAUAAAAUGGCUGGAGGAAUGUAGCUUCGAUUUCGAUUGAAGUGUUAUAGCCUUCGGCAGAUGUGAUGAUCGGGAUUGAGGAUUGCAACGGAUACCCUUCGGGGUUACCUGUCUGGUCUCUGAUCGUUGCUCUGGUGCCGAAAGCGUGCUUACGGUUAUCAAAGUCGAUGGUCAAUAGGUUAGAACGGGUUAAAUUCGUUAAGGAUGUUGACGUA
rnacentral:rRNA from 1 species